rnacentral:rRNA from 1 species
AACGAACGUUGGCGGCGUGGAUUAGGCAUGCAAGUCGUACGAGUUUCAUCUGGGUAACUGGCUGAAAAAAGUGGCGAAAGGGGCAGUAAGGCAUGGAUAAUCUACCCUUAUGACCGGGAUAGCUGUCCCAACGGGCAGGUAAUACCGGAUGAGCUGGUGGGGCCGCAUGGUUCUGCCAGGAAAGGCUCAAGCCGUGUCGGGAGGAAUCCAUGUCAUAUUCGCUAGUUGGUGAGGUAAAGGCUCACCCAGGCGAAGAUGUCUAGCGGGUGUGAGAGCACGAACAGAGCCAGUAGAACUGAGAGAGAGGCCAAACUCCGACGGGAGGCGGAAGUGGAGGAUCUUAGGCAAUGGGAGAAAGCCUGACCGAGCGACGCCGCGUGAGCGAUGAAGGCCAUUAGGUUGUAAAGCUCUGUCGAGGGGGAACAAGGCGCAAGGUUGAGUGAUCCAUGGAGGAAGCACGGGCUAAGUUCGUG